rnacentral:rRNA from 1 species
UACGGAGGGUGCAAGCGUUAUCCGGAUUCACUGGGUUUAAAGGGAGCGUAGGUGGGCUGGUAAGUCAGUGGUGAAAUCUCCGGGCUUAACUCGGAAACUGCCGUUGAUACUAUCAGUCUUGAAUAUUGUGGAGGUAAGCGGAAUAUGUCAUGUAGCGGUGAAAUGCUUAGAUAUGACAUAGAACACCGAUAGCGAAGGCAGCUUGCUACACAAUUAUUGACACUGAGGCUCGAAAGCGUGGGGAGCGAACAGG